UACGUAGGGUGCAAGCGUUGUCCGGAAUUAUUGGGCGUAAAGAGCUCGUAGGCGGUUUGUUGCGUCGGCUGUGAAAUCCCGAGGCUCAACCUCGGGUCUGCAGUCGAUACGAGCAAACUAGAGUGUUGCAGGGGAGACUGGAAUUCCUGGUGAUAGCGGUGAAAUGCGCAGAUAUCAGGAGGAACACCGGUGGCGAAGGCGGGUCUCUGGGCAGUAACUGACGCUGGAGGAGCGAAAGCGUGGGGAGCGAACAGG
rnacentral:rRNA from 1 species